UACGUAGGUGACAAGCGUUGUCCGGAUUUACUGGGCGUAAAGAGCGCGCAGGCGGUCGAUCAAGUCGGGUGUGAAAGCCCCCGGCUCAACUGGGGAGGGUCAUUCGAUACUGAUCGACUCGAAGGCAGGAGAGGGUAGUGGAAUUCCCGGUGUAGUGGUGAAAUGCGUAGAUAUCGGGAGGAACACCAGUGGCGAAGACGACUACCUGGCCUGUUCUUGACGCUGAGGCGCGAAAGCUAGGGGAGCAAACGGG
rnacentral:rRNA from 1 species